ensembl:misc_RNA
UUCUUUGUUAAUUGUCAGCUGCUUUUAUCAAAUUCCAGUCUGUUAUCCAGCAAACACUAAAAAUGUUUGAACAGUUGGAUUUCAAACAUUUUAACUUUGUGGAGUGGUGCUUACCAAGUGGUACAGCUCUAAGCAAGUGAACA